rnacentral:rRNA from 1 species
GACGAACGCUGGCGGCGUGCCUAAUACAUGCAAGUAGAACAGUUGCGAACGGGUGAGUAACGCGUAGGUAACUGCCUCAUAGCGGGGGAUAACUAUUGGAAACGAUAGCUAAUACCGCAUACUGUGAGAUGGACCUGCGUUGUAUUAGCUAGUUGGUGAGGUAAAGGCUCACCAAGGCGACGAUACAUAGCCGGCCUGAGAGGGUGGUGGGCCACACGGGGACUGAUACACAGGCCAGACUCCUACGGGAGGCAGAAGUGGGGGAUCUUCCGCAAUGGACGGAAGUCUGACCAGGCAACGCCGCGUGAGUGAAGAAGGUGUUCGGAUCGUAAAGCUCUGUUAUUAGAGAAGCGGUAGCUAGCCAGAAAGGGACGGCUAACUACGUGCCAGCAGCCGCGGUAAUUC